UACGUAGGGUGCAAGCGUUAAUCGGAAUUACUGGGCGUAAAGCGUGCGCAGGCGGUUUUGUAAGUUUGUCGUGAAAUCCCCGGGCUCAACCUGGGAAUGGCGAUGAAGACUGCAAGGCUAGAAUCUGGCAGAGGGGGGUAGAAUUCCACGUGUGAGCAGUGAAAUGCGUAGAGAUGUGGAGGAACACCGAUGGCGAAGGCAGCCCCCUGGGUCAAGAUUGACGCUCAUGCACGAAAGCGUGGGGAGCAACAGGAUACGAACCGUAGUAAGACCAUG
rnacentral:rRNA from 1 species